GACUCUAUGUCGGUUUUUAUUUCCUUGGAUUUGGUUAAGUGGUUCCAAAAGAUCUUCAUAGUCUUCGUUGAUUUAAUAUUAUUUUCUUCAGGUAACUAAUAUUUCUCGUCUGAGCAAAGAAUGUUAUUUUCAUUGAAACAAAGACACUAUGUCUGGAUGAGAUUGCUCAUGUUGUUGAAGGUGAUGCGGUGUCAGAGCUAGGUUGUGGCGAUGGGUCUAGUGUCUCAAGGUGCGGCA